rnacentral:rRNA from 1 species
UACGUAGGGUGCGAGCGUUGUCCGGAAUUAUUGGGCGUAAAGGGGCUCGUAGGCGGUCUGUCGCGUCGGUAGUGAAAACUCAGGGCUUAACCCUGAGCCUGCUUCCGAUACGGGCAGACUAGAGGUAUGCAGGGGGAGAAUGGAAUUCCUGGUGUAGCGGUGAAAUGCGCAGAUAUCAGGAGGAACACCGGUGGCGAAGGCGGUUCUCUGGGCAUGUCCUGACGCUGAGGAGCGAAAGUGUGGGGGAGCGAACAGG